rnacentral:lncRNA from 1 species
AUUGUGUUGAGAUGAGACCUUGGGUAGAGAGACAAUAGAAGAGAAACUUUGGACCUGGAUGGCCUGCACUCUGGUCUCUACAGAGGAAUACUGAAGAUCAGUGGAUGAUUUAGAAAUGACUGCUUUAGGAAGAAUGAUGAGAAGAAAUGCAUCUUGAGCAAAAGCUUGCAUUCUACCAACUUUGACCAAAAGCUAUAAAGCUG